rnacentral:lncRNA from 1 species
ACCCCCGCCGCGGCGGCCGCUGACCUGUACCCGCGGUGGCCGCGGUAGCAGGAGGCCGGGCAGUCACAGUCCACUGGGCCGUCGUCAUCGUCAAAGGGCGCGUACUCCAGGCCCGGCUCAGCGCCCUCGGUCAGCCGCGGGGUCUCCGCCACACUGCCGGCGACAGGGACGCUCACCACCAGUCUCGGGACGACUUUUCUUCACCCCUUUUCUCGGCGCAGGGGGCCUGACCUAGCCCCGCAAGUCUGCGGGCUGCUACCCGGCUGGGGGAGGGGCGAGGGGUAACUGCGGCCCCUGGCCUUACAGGGCUAGGCAGAGAUUUGGGGAACCCAACGGGGCACAUCCCCUACAGGUCCCCGACCUCACGGUACAAUCUUUUGCAAAAAAGAAGGAGAUAACCGAGCCCCUUAUUUAGCCCGCACCCCUUCUGAGUUCUCACCAUCUCAGUAAGCCCCCUCCUCUUUUUUUUUUUUUUAAUUUUGGAGAUAGGGUCUUGCUCUGUUGCUCAGGCUGGGUUGCAGCGGUGGGAUCAUAGCUCACUGCAGCCUUGAACUUCUGGGCCCAAGCGAUCCUUCCUCCUCAGCCUCUUGAGUAGCUGGGACUACAGGCGUGGACCCCUACCCUGGCUAAUUUGAAAAAUUUUGCAGAGACGGGGUCUCACUAUGUUGCUCAGGCUGGUUUCGAACUCCUGGCCUCAAGCGAUCCUCCCGUUUGAUCUCUCAAAGUGCUGGAAUUCCAGGCAUGAGCCACCCUGCAGUCGUGGGUGGGGUGUGUGUGGCUACUCCUUAGAUGAGGCUCCUCUUCUUCACUGAAUCCCCUCCAUAUCCUAGCCCCAUUCAUUGAAGCCCUCCCCCUCAGUGAACCCCCCAUUUGAUCCCUGUGCCCCUAACCCUACUGUCCUAUUCUGGGAACCCCAUCCCCACCCCUCCUUUCUCUCACUGAACCCUAAUUUCUCUUUUCUUUUCUUUCUUUUUUUUUUCAGUCUCACUCCGUUGUCCUGGCUGGAGUGCAGGGGCCCGAUCUCGCCUCACUGCAACCUCUGCCUGCUGCAGUCUCCUGCAAUCUCACCUCACUGCAACCUCCGCUUCCUGGGUUCAAGUGAUUCUCCUGCCUCAGCCUCCCGAGUAGCUGGGAUUACAGGUGCCCGCUAAUUUUUGUAUUUUUAGUAGAGAUGGGGUUUCUCCAUGUUAGUCAGGCUGGUAUGGAACUCCCGAUCUCAGAUGAUCUGCCAGCUUUGGCCUCCCAAAGUGCUGGGAUUACAGGCGUGAGCCACCGCGCACGGCGAACUCUAAUUUCUUCCUUUUUUUUUUUUCUUUUUCUUUUUCUUUUUUUUUUUUUUUUUUUUGAGAUGGAGUCUCACUCUGUCGACUAGGCUGGAGUGCAGUGGCAUGAUCUCAGCUCACUGCAUCCUCCGCCUGCUGGGUUCAAGCAAUUCUCCUGCCUCAGCCUCCCGAGUAGCUGGGACUACAGGCAUGCACCACCACGCCCAGCUAAUUUUUUGUAUUUUUAGUAGAGACGGGGUUUCACCAUGCUGGCCAGGCUGGUCUUGAACUCCUGACCUUGUGAUCCACCCACCUUGGCCUCCCAACGUGCUGGGAUUACAGGCGUGAGCCACCGCGCCCGGCAAACUCUAAUUUCUUAAAGAGCCCCUUCCUCCUGGCCUAUCUCCGCCCUCCCCGAGCCCUGGCUCAAUGAUGUGGGUCUUUCCUCACCUGGGUGUCCUAGUCCCUGAGCCCCCUCCCGCUGGCUGAGUGCCUCCCUGCCCCGCUUCCCCUCCUUUCCUCCAGCCCGGCCUCUGUCGCUGAAAUAUUCAUAGCCUCUCCUCGCCCUCCCCUCUGCAGCCUCCAGGGGCCCCCCCUGCUCAUCUCUGGCAGCAGGACUGUGCUCAUCAAUCAAGCCUGGUGGCAGAGGGUGGGGGCCUCCAAUACUCCCUAUCCAUCUUACAGAACUCUCCUUUUCGCUCAGCAGGGACCAGACACCUCCUGUCCCUGCUCCCGCAGCCCCAGCCAGCCUCUGCCACAGAUGUUGGCUCCCUACAGGCUCUUCUCAGAGCGCUUCUUUUUUUCUAGAGGUAGCUGGGCUGGAGGCAAGAGCAUGAGAUUUGAAGCUCCAGACAAGGGCUCAUCCUGCACUGUCCUGAGCCGCCUUGUGACCUGGAGCCUGCCGUGUCCCUCUGUGAGCCUCUUCUCGAAGAUGAGAAAACUGAGGUGCAGAGAAGAAAAGGAACAUUCCCUAUGAUGUCAAGACCUUUUAGUAAAGCAUAUACGUUGAGUCUAAGGUGAGAGGAUCACUUGAGACUGGGAGUUUGAGAGCAGCCUGGGCAACAUAGUAAGAUCACAUUUCUACAAAUCAAAUUACAUGAGGCCAGGCCCGGUGGCUCACGCCUGUAAUCUCAGCACUUUGGGCCAAGGUGGGCAGAUCACUUGAGGUCAGGAGUUCGAGACCAGCCUGGCCAACAUGGCAAAACCCCAUCUCUACUAAAAAUACAAAAAUUCGCUGGGCAUGGUGGCACAUGCCUAUAAUCCCAGCUACUUGGGAGGCUGACGCAGGAGAAUCACUUGAACCCGGGAAGCGUAGGUUACAGUGAGCAGAGAUCAUAGAGCUGCACUCCAGCCUGGAUGACAGAGUGAGACUCUGUCUCAAAAACAAACAAGCAAACACCUAUAUAAGUUCAUCUAGCAACUGGCUUUGAGAAUUCAUGUGCAAAUGACACAGCCCUUGAAUGCGCUGGCUGACCUUCCCUGCUGGAGAUGUAAGCCAGCAUGAGGUCUUCCAGCUCACUCAUCCCCUUCCGACUCGAUAGAUACUGUUGUGGGUGUGUGCUCUCUGAGUCCUAAAUUUGUUUAAUGUUUUAUGCUCUUAAAUUUUCAUGUUUUCUUUUUCAAUUAUUUUUGUUUUUAUUUAUUUUUUGAGACAGAGCCUUAUUCUGUUGCCAAGGCUGUAGUGUGGUUGCGUGAUCUUGGCUCAGUGCAAACUCCACCUCCUGGGUUCAAGAAAUUUUCCCACCUCAGCUCCCAGCUCCAGAGUAGCUGGGAUUGCAGGCGUGUGCCACCAUGCUCAGCUAAUUUUUUGUAUUUUUAGUAGAGAUGGGGGUUUCACCGUGUUGGCCAGGCUGGUCUUGAACUCCUGACCUCAAGUGAUCCAACCGCCUCAGCCUCCCAAAAUGCUGGGAUUACAGGUAUGAACCAC